ncrna:unclassified sequences DTF805b RNA
GGGGCGGGUUCCGAAAAGCCUAUGAUAGAGUAGGAA